GGUGGCUCAGUGGUAGAGUGCUUGCCUUGCAUGCAUGAAGCCCUAGGUUCAAUUCCCCAGCACCA
rnacentral:tRNA from 1 species